UUCCAUCCGGCCGCGGCCGGGAGGCUGAGGCAGGAAAAGCCAACACUAGGAUCAGCAGUGAUUCAUGGAGAGACCUUCGUCUGGUCAGCUAACAUUACUGCCAAGCAGUUUUAAAUGCACUU